AGGUGGGGUAACGGCUCACCUAGGCGACGAUCCCUAGCUGGUCUGAGAGGAUGACCAGCCACACUGGAACUGAGACACGGUCCAGACUCCUACGGGAGGCAGCAGUGGGGAAUAUUGCACAAUGGGCGCAAGCCUGAUGCAGCCAUGCCGCGUGUGUGAAGAAGGCCUUCGGGUUGUAAAGCACUUUCAGCGGGGAGGAAGGCGGUGAGGUUAAUAACCUCAUCGAUUGACGUUACCCGCAGAAGAAGCACCGGCUAACUCCGUGCCAGCAGCCGCGGUAAUACGGAGGGUGCAAGCGUUAAUCGGAAUUACUGGGCGUAAAGCGCACGCAGGCGGUCUGUCAAGUCGGAUGUGAAAUCCCCGGGCUCAACCUGGGAACUGCAUUCGAAACUGGCAGGCUAGAGUCUUGUAGAGGGGGGUAGAAUUCCAGGUGUAGCGGUGAAAUGCGUAGAGAUCUGGAGGAAUACCGGUGGCGAAGGCGGCCCCCUGGACAAAGACUGACGCUCAGGUGCGAAAGCGUGGGGAGCAAACAGGAUUAGAUACCCUGGUAGUCCACGCUGUAAACGAUGUCGAUUUGGAGGUUGUGCCCUUGAGGCGUGGCUUCCGGAGCUAACGCGUUAAAUCGACCGCCUGGGGAGUACGGCCGCAAGGUUAAAACUCAAAUGAAUUGACGGGGGCCCGCACAAGCGGUGGAGCAUGUGGUUUAAUUCGAUGCAACGCGAAGAACCUUACCUGGUCUUGACAUCCACAGAACUUUCCAGAGAUGGAUUGGUGCCUUCGGGAACUGUGAGACAGGUGCUGCAUGGCUGUCGUCAGCUCGUGUUGUGAAAUGUUGGGUUAAGUCCCGCAACGAGCGCAACCCUUAUCCUUUGUUGCCAGCGGUCCGGCCGGGAACUCAAAGGAGACUGCCAGUGAUAAACUGGAGGAAGGUGGGGAUGACGUCAAGUCAUCAUGGCCCUUACGACCAGGGCUACACACGUGCUACAAUGGCAUAUACAAAGAGAAGCGACCUCGCGAGAGCAAGCGGACCUCAUAAAGUAUGUCGUAGUCCGGAUUGGAGUCUGCAACUCGACUCCAUGAAGUCGGAAUCGCUAGUAAUCGUAGAUCAGAAUGCUACGGUGAAUACGUUCCCGGGCCUUGUACACACCGCCCGUCACACCAUGGGAGUGGGUUGCAAAAGAAGUAGGUAGCUUAACCUUCGGGAGGGCGCUUACCACUUUGUGAUUCAUGACUGGGGUGAAGUCGUAACAAGGUAACCGUAGGGGAACCUGCGGUUGGAUCACCU
rnacentral:rRNA from 1 species